rnacentral:rRNA from 1 species
GAGUAAUGUCUGGGAAACUGCCUGAUGGAGGGGGAUAACUACUGGAAACGGUGGCUAAUACCGCAUAACGUCGCAAGACCAAAGAGGGGGACCUUCGGGCCUCUUGCCAUCAGAUGUGCCCAGAUGGGAUUAGCUUGUUGGUGAGGUAACGGCUCACCAAGGCGACGAUCCCUAGCUGGUCUGAGAGGAUGACCAGCCACACUGGAACUGAGACACGGUCCAGACUCCUACGGGAGGCAGCAGUGGGGAAUAUUGCACAAUGGGCGCAAGCCUGAUGCAGCCAUGCCGCGUGUAUGAAGAAGGCCUUCGGGUUGUAAAGUACUUUCAGCGGGGAGGAA